rnacentral:pre_miRNA from 1 species
UGGAUAGAUUAUUGUAUUCGACUGUAUUCACGGCGUGAAACAGGGGAUUACACUGUUUUUAAACGGAGGUGAAUCAAUUAACAUAAUAGACUCCU